ensembl:misc_RNA Metazoa_SRP Metazoan signal recognition particle RNA
GCUAGGCAUGGUGGCAUGUGCCUGUAGUCCCAGCUACUAGGGAGGCUGAGGCAGGAGGAUCACUUGAGCCCAGGAGGUCUUGGCUGCAGUGAGCUAUGAUUGCACCACUGCACUCCAGCCUGGGCGACAGAGUGAGACCCUGUCUCAA